AAGAAACAGUUGCUGGAGCUGCUAUGUUUCUACAGCAAAGGGAUAGAGGGACGGAAGGGCGGGGUUUCUCCACCCCACCCUAAACGGCUUGGAAAUACAAUUGAUGAAUGUCAGGCAGACAGCAGCUGCUUAUGGGAUCCUGAGACCCGGAGGCUGGAUUCACACAGACGCGCCAGCAGAGGCAAAACCUGAACUCCACGUGGCUUGGUCAGCUCUCUUUCAAAGAAGGUAGUUUGCAAUGGGAGAAACCAGCGCCUGAAAGUCUUGCAGGGAAAAGAUCAUAGAAUCACAGAAGGGACCCAAAGAGUCAUCUGGUUCAGCCCCUAAAAUGCAGGAAUCACAGCUAAAGGCUGUUUAUUAACUGCAGAAUAUGUGUAAGCUCUUCUGCGGCAGCCUAGGAGCGGUUUUUCCUCUGAUGUAGCUGUGGUCUAAACCACAGAGCCUCUUGGGAUUGUUGAUCGGAAGGUUGGCAGUUCAAAUCCCUGCAACAGUGUGAGCUCCCGUUGCUCGGUCCCUGCUCCUGUCAACCUAGCAGUUCGAAAGCACGUCAUGUGCAAGUAGAUAAAUAGGUACCGCUCCAGUGGGAAGGUAAAUGGCGUUUCCGUGCACUGCUCUGGUUUGCCAGAAGCGGCUUAGUCAUGCUGGCCACAUGACCCGAAAGCUGUCUGCAGACAAACGCCAGCUUCCUCGGCCUAUAGAGCGAGAUGAGCGCCACAAUCUCAGAGUCGUCCGCGACUGGACCUAAUGGUCAGGGGCACCUUUACCUUUACUAGCUGCAUCCCCUAGUAGAGAGGCAAUGUUGGAGAAGACACAAAUGUACCCUCAGUAUGUUCUAUCAUAUGUGGUGGACCUGUAAAAGGCUAAAAGAGUAUUAGGAAAUAAUUCAUAAUGAAUUGGAAAAAAAUAUGUUUAAAAGUACUUUCCCCCAAAAACCAGAGUUCUUUUAAAAAGGUAAAGGGACCCCUGACCGUUAAGUCCAGUCGCAAACAACUCUGGGGUUGUGGCGCUCAUCUCGUUUUACUGGCCGAGGGAGCCGGCAUUUGUCCGCAGACAGUUUUUCCAGGUCAUGUGGCCUGCAUGACUAGCCGCUUCUGGGGAAACCAGAGCAGCACACGGAAACGCCGUUAACCUUCCCACUGGAGCGGGACCUAUUUAUCUACUUGCACUUUGACAUGCUUUCAAACUGCUAGGUUGGCAGGAGCAGGGACCGAGCAACGGGAGCUCACUCCGUCGUGGGGAUUCGAACCGCCAGCCUUCUGAUUGGCAAGCCCAAGAGGCUCAGUGGUUUAGACCACAGUGCCACCCACGUCCCUAGAGUCCUUUUAGUUGGGGAUAAUUCAGACGGAAAUUCCCAGAUUUCAAAAAAGGUUGUUUAUGUAUGCCACUACUGUGGCCCAUGUUUUGUUAGCCCAAAAAUGGAAAUGAGCGAAGUCCCAACUAAAGAAGAAUGUCAACUUAAGCUGAUGGAACAUGUGCAGCUCGCGGACCUAACAUAUAGAAUAAGAGAACAAGAAGAACAUACAGUGAGAGAAUGAGAAAAUAUGGGAGGGGAGGGAUAGAAUAUUGAACAGUAAAAUGACUCACCAAUUAAUAAAAUGAACCAAGAAUGGAAGGGAAGGGAAGUCGAUGAUAUGGUUUGUAUUCUGUAAAAUAUUAUUGUGUAAACUUGAAAAUGGUUUUUAAAAAUGAAAGACAUUGUCAUUCACAUGGUGUGGAGUGUGCUGUGUCAUGUUAUCGAUUAUGCGCGUGGGGCUUACCUCCCUCCCCCAAAUAUUUUAAUCAAGUUGGCACCUCUGGCUGGAAGAUGUGUCAGGAGAGGAAAAGGUUAAGUUGUCCUUCCUACUCACCUUUUCCCCUCUCAGACAUAGCCUGCCCCCAGGCUGCUUUUGAGUUAAAGCAAAAGAACAGAACAAAACCACAGAAGAGUGAGUCACCAAACAUUUAAGGCGUAGCUUGAGCUUAACAGCUUAUGUAGCUCUGACCCUGAUGAUGAAGAACAGGGAGCCACAAUUGUUUCAUGCAAAGUGGCCCCGGAGGGCAGUCUUAAGAGGCAACUAUUCUGUGGCGCAGUUAGGUAUUUUUUUUAGGCUGCAGACAUAUUGCCGUUUACUCCACUGGUGUUUGAAGCAGAGUACACCUGAUGUUAUCCACACCGCAUAAGUAUCCUGUAGCUCCUUGGGGAAUCCUCCUGUUUGAUGUGCCUUCCCUCACACUUGCUUCCAUGCCAUUCGAAAAUGUGAGCUGCAGUUAAGUUGAGGUGUGUACACUUUGGGUGGCUGUUGCACAUGCCCAGAUGAUAGCUAUGGGCAGGCCGUUCCUGGGCAGGCCGGGUCGUCCUCUUGUAUACUGGCUGGGACUGACAAGGCACCUGACCCUCACCUGAAUCUUGUGGGAAAUAAUUAGCAUCACACAUCAUGUGAUGGAAGUUGCCAAACCAAUUAACCAACCAGAAGGAUUGCUGUUAAUAGCACCAGUUUUCGUAUAACUUGAUAUUGCUGGAUAGGUUUUUUUUUAAUCUAAAAAACAUUUCUAGUUUGCUUUCUGUUGCCACCAUGGAACCUUUCUUUAUUAGUGCCACUUUGUUUUGUAUGAUUCCUUGCAAAUGAAGGAAAACAACUUUUCUGCUUGUAUAUGUUGAUAACAUAAUUUCAGUUACUGAGGACAAACAAGAUUGUACAAAAACAAGAUUGGGUGCAGGCCUGGCCAGCACAUAGGCAUCCUGACUGUGACAAAGGUGACCUGUGUGCUUGGUUGAUUAACAGCUGUUGGGAACUUCAAGGUCCCUGCUCUCCCUUCUUAUGGGCUUUGUAGUGGACCUGGAGACUCCAAUAGAGAGCAUUCCAUGUCAAGAAGGAGGGCAAGUGGGCACCCUAUCAAAUGACAAGGCAGGAGCUACACGGAGCAGGGCCUUUUCACUGGUGGUGCCCAUUGUAUGCCUCGCUCUCCCCAGAUCUGCUCUCUUUUGGCCUGUAUUUUGGAGCUUUAUAAUUUAGGAAAACUUUGGAAGAACUGUUUGACAAGUCUUAUCAGCCGCUGACAUAUGAGUGGAUUUUAUUUACUGCUAUUCUGUGCUUCUGGUGCAGCAGGGUUUACAUCAGCAUAAUAGAGUUGGCCAGGAUGCCAGAAGGGAUACAAUUUAGGAGCUUUCUCCAUUAUCUGCACCGCAGGGGGUGUUCAGUCAACAGCGCAAAGGCUGAGCUGAAGCAUUCCCUGCUGGUUACCUGCUUUCAGCAAUAGGAGUCGCUGUUUGGUAGUACCCGAUUGGUUAGCUGUCAGAUUCCAGAGCUCCCUAUUGGUGGCUCUUAGGUAAUUCACAAAAUACAGAGUCCAUUCAUAAAACACAGUGUUCAUUCAUAAAGCAGUAACAUAAAUCUCCAUUGCUACAUAUUGGGUGUAUAUUUCAGCGGUUGAACGUACAAGUUUAUGGCCAUGCUGUAGUGUAGUGCCGAUUUAUCCCAAUAAACACAUUUUUAUAUGCAGUUUUAACUAAUGUAUGAAUUCUUGCAUAUUUGCCCGUUAUUUCCACCAAUAUAUUAAUACACACCUCCUGAAUAUGUGUGCAUUUUUGUAAACAUUUGUUGGUCGAUGAGCUAUAUCAGAAAAAACCAAAUAAGUACAAAUCUUGAAGGAUAUUUUUUUUUUUUUUUUGGUAUUGUUUCAGAAAGAGUGAAUUUGAUAGGCUUGGCUCCCAAUGAGUCCUGAAUCAAAUUUUUCUCCCAUGCCCGUUCCCUGCUUUGAAUCUGACUCAAUGGUUUUGAGAAACUACCACCACUCAUCUUUAGUUUUCCCACUGCAGGGUUGAAGAAAUAACACUUCAUCUACCUGACAGGGUUGUUGUAAAGAUUGAAAUAACAUAAUGCAUGUGAAUACUUGAAUAUUUAAAUGCAUGAUGGAAAUGCCAAAUCUUACUACUAUUCCUGUCAUCGACCCAGGAUUAUUUAUUAUUAUUAUUAUUAUUAUUAAUAAUAAUAAUAAUAAUACCUCACCCACCCUCCUGGGUUUCCCCAGCCACUCUGGGUGGCUUCCAACAGAUUAAAAACAGAAUAAAACUUCCUUAAACAGGGCUGCCUUCAGAUGUCUUCUACAAGUCAGAUAGUUGUUUAUUUCCUUGACAUCUGAUGGGAAGGCGUUUCACAGGGCGGGCACCACUACCGAGAAGGCCCUCUGCCUGGUUCCCUGUCACCUCACUUCUCGCAGGGAGGGAACCACCAGAAGACCCUCGGAGCUGGACCUCAGUGUCUGGGCUGAAUGAUGGGGGUGGAGACGCUCCUUCAGGUAUACUGGGCCAAGGCUGUUUAGUCGACAUCAACACUUGAAUGGUUGUUUUGCACUGGAUAGGCUAAUCUAAUCGGCUGGCAAAGGAACAUAUUAGCUGAGCAGCUUGCAAAAUCUCAGUUCUGCACGGUUUAGCAACCCAGAUUUAGAAAAGGUCCUUAACUGAUACUUGGAAAAGCUGAUACUCUUGCAAGGCAGCCAAGUCUGUAAACAGCUCAAUUCAUUUUAAUAUGGGAUACAUUAGAACCGGCAAGCUCCUAUUCAAAAUAAGAGAGUUGAUCGCUUUGUGCAAAGGUGGGAGCAGACUAGGCUGAGGUGCAAUGGUAACUGGACAGAUAUUUCAGGAUAGUAAAGAGUCAGAUUUGGUUGUUUCCUGGAACUUCAUUUAAGGAUCUGAUAUUUAUUUAGAAAGGCACUCAUUUAUUUAUUUUUAUUUAGCAUGUUCCAUUCAGUAAACACAACAAUAAAGUAUAAUAAAGUCACCCUGCUGAGAAAUGAGGGAAGGAAGUGCAUCAAAUAGAGGAAUCUACAGAGGAAAGAGGGGAGUAGUUUUUAAGCAUCAUGUAGCACAGGGGUCAGCAAGGCUUACCUUGCCUGGGCCGGUUCACUGCCACGGGGCCCCCUCCAUGGGCUGGAUCACGUGUGCGCAUGAGCGCGCAUGCCUGUGAUUUCCUGCGUCUGCACAGACACGAUUUCCAGUGCCGCGAAAGCGAGUCCCCGCGCUGUGUUGCGCCAGUUUAGCGCAGCGCGCAGGGACUUGCCAAGCGGGCAGCUCGGUUAGGGGGCUGCUUGUGAGUCGGUAAAACGACCCCCAUGGGCUGCUUGUGGCCCAUAUGCCUUAGGCUGCCAACCCCUGAUGUAGCACAAAAAGUAACACAGCAUAGAUUAAAACGACUGAAAAAUCUAAGAGAGGUAUUCUUGUAUGCAACUGCAGCGGCUCGAAUACUUGUGGCCAAGGGAUGGAAAGAUCACGAGGCUCCAAAAAUAACAGAUUGGCAAAUCAAAUUACAGGAAUUGGUGGAGAUGGCUCAAUUGACUAGAAAACUCAGAGGAAACUCAAAGCAAAAAUUUGCGGGAAAAUGGGAUGAUUAUAGAAGAUAUGUUCAUAGUUUUGACUCCGUGCUAGCAUUCGAGUGGCAAAGGAAGUAAAAGGAGGUGGAUAACAAUUAAGGAUUUAUCAUGUUUUCAGAAAGUAUUGUAAAAUUUAUAUAGAAAGGUUUAUUGUUUUGUGUACAUUCGAUUGUAAGAUAAAACAUAUGCGAAGCGACUUGACCGGAAGUCAAAAUUGAAGAAAAGUUUUUGCAAGAUAAAAGGGGGGAAAUAUUUACUUUCAUUAUUAUCAUUUUGUGUGUGUGUGUGUGUGUGUGUGUCUGUACAUAUGUGUGUUUUGUAUGGAAUGUUUAGGAGGAAAUAAGACGGUAAAUAACCAAUAACAAACUAAAUAUUGAUGUAUGUAAUUUUUAUUUCUCAGUUAUAUUUAGUGGUAGUAUGGUUGUAAUCAGCCCUGAAUGCUCACUGGAAGGACAGAUUGUGAAG